UCACUGAUUGAUAUUCAUCUGGGCAUGUUGGAAUUGUGCUAUUAACUUAAUCACUGUUAUCUACAUUUACAUACAUGUACAUAUGUCUGUCUGUUCAUUCAUGGAAGCAUUUAUUCAUUAAUUUAACCUAUUUAUUUCUGUGUCACUGCAAAAGCCGUAGCCCUACAGGUCCACCCAUCGCUCCCUCGGCCUCUCCCUCCAAAUGACCGAGCCCCGGUCCCUGCUCCUGCCAUAACUAGGGCGGAGCGAAGAGGAGGAUUUGCCCCGGCAGUCCUUCCUGCCUCCAAGGCCCGCCUCCAAGGCCCGCUGCUGAGCUGCUGCUUCCAGAGAGUUGGCGUUCAUCUCUCACCAAGGAGCAGCAGCGGUGGAUCACGCUGUUCACCAGGAACAGCUUUGGGAGGUCGACACUCACCACUGGCCUGGUCACGUGGUGGAACCCUCCCCAACCACGGCCGAUCUACAAUCAGCCACCCGCAUCCCCCGACCCCUUCUUCGCAUGUCAGCUGUUCCUUUGGGUGCCCGUACGUACUAUGGGCAUUCAAGCUGGCAUGUCCCCAGUCUGGGUGCAGAGGCACACUGUGCAAGGCUGGGCUCUACAACAAGACCAUCCGGAGGGUCUUGGACAUCGACCUCUGGUAUCUCAUGGCCACUGAGUACCUGGAAUGCGGCCGGUGUAAGAAGAAGGUCGCGGGGUGGUCACGGGACCUUGCCGAGCGUCCAGCUGACUGACAGUUUCCAGCAAUAUUGACAUACAAGUUGUGAGGAUGCUGAGGUCUCGUACUUUGGGGAACAGUGCGUCACAGACCUACAGCAAGCUGUGUGAAAGUCACGGCGAGUCCUGGAUGCGUAGCUAUACGCAGGUAUACGGUACCUUCGGGGAGUGCAAGCAGUUUCUGGCCUUGGGCAUUGGGCGGCAGUUCACUGAUCCACCGGAGAUGCCCCCGGUGCCCUCACCCGUCUGGCAUC